rnacentral:rRNA from 1 species
AUUGAACGCUGGCGGCAUGCUUUACACAUGCAAGUCGAACGGCAGCGCGGGCUUCGGCCUGGCGGCGAGUGGCGAACGGGUGAGUAAUGCAUCGGAACGUGCCCAGUAGUGGGGGAUAGCCCGGCGAAAGCCGGAUUAAUACCGCAUACGACCUGAGGGUGAAGGCGGGGGACCGAAAGGCCUCGCGCUAUUGGAGCGGCCGAUGUCGGAUUAGCUAGUUGGUGGGGUAAAGGCUUACCAAGGCGACGAUCCGUAGCUGGUCUGAGAGGACGACCAGCCACACUGGGACUGAGACACGGCCCAGACUCCUACGGGAGGCAGCAGUGGGGAAUUUUGGACAAAGGGGGCAACCCUGAUCCAGCCAUGCCGCGUGCGGGAAGAAGGCCUUCGGGUUGUAAACCGCUUUUGUUCGGGAAGAAAUCCUCUGGGCUAAUACCCCGGGGGGAUGACGGUACCGGAAGAAUAAGCACCGGCUAACUACGUG